ensembl:rRNA 5S_rRNA 5S ribosomal RNA
CUCUAUGGCCAUACCACCCUGAUCUUGGAAGCUAAGUAGAAUCGGGCCUAGUCACUAAAUGCAUGGGAGACUGCCCAGGAAUACCAGGGGCGGUAGUAU